GACGAACGCUGGCGGCGUGCCUAAUACAUGCAAGUUGAACGAUGAAGCUUGGUGCUUGCACCAAUUUGAAGAGCAGCGAACGGGUGAGUAAAGCGUGGGGAAUCUGCCUUUGAGCGGGGGACAACAUUUGGAAACGAAUGCUAAUACCGCAUAAUAACUUUAAACAUAAGUUUUAAGUUUGAAAGAUGCAAUUGCAUCACUCAAAGAUGAUCCCGCGUUGUAUUAGCUAGUUGGUGAGGUAAAGGCUCACCAAGGCGAUGAUACAUAGCCGACCUGAGAGGGUGAUCGGCCACAUUGGGACUGAGACACGGCCCAAACUCCUACGGGAGGCAGCAGUAGGGAAUCUUCGGCAAUGGACGAAAGUCUGACCGAGCAACGCCGCGUGAGUGAAGAAGGUUUUCGGAUCGUAAAACUCUGUUGGUAGAGAAGAACGUUGGUGAGAGUGGAAAGCUCAUCAAGUGACGGUAACUACCCAGAAAGGGACGGCUAACUACGUG
rnacentral:rRNA from 1 species